ensembl:lncRNA
AGGAACCAGAACCUGGUGUUCAUAGAGAUCUAGAUGUUCAUAGAGGUCUAGAUAUUCAUAGAGGUCUAGAUGUUCAUAGAGGUCUAGAUGUUCAUAGAGGUCUAGAUGUUCAUAAAGGUCUAGAUGUUCAUAGAGGUCUAGAUGUUGGUGUUCAUAGAGGUCUAGAUGUUCAUAGAGGUCUAGAUGUUCAUAGAGGUCUAGAUGUUCAUAGAGGUCUAGAUGUUCAUAGAGGUCUAGGUGUUCAUAGAGGUCUAGGUGUUCAUAGAGGUCUAGGUGUUCAUAGAGGUCUAGAUGUUCAUAGAGGUCUAGGUGUUCAUAGAGGUCUAGAUGUUCAUAGAGGUCUAGAUGUUCAUAGAGGUCUAGAUGUUCAUAGAGGUCUAGAUGUUCAUAGAGGUCUAGAUGUUCAUAGAGGUCUAGGUGUUCAUAGAGGUCUAGGUGUUCAUAGAGGUCUAGGUGUUCAUAGAGGUCUAGGUGUUCAUAGAGGUCUAGAUGUUCAUAGAGGUCUAGGUGUUCAUAGAGGUCUAGAUGUUCAUAGAGGUCUAGAUGUUCAUAGAG